GAGUGGAUUAGCGGCGGACGGGUGAGUAACACGUGGGUAACCUGCCUCAAAGAGGGGGAUAGCCUCCCGAAAGGGAGAUUAAUACCGCAUAACAUUAUUUUAUGGCAUCAUAAAAUAAUCAAAGGAGUAAUCCGCUUUGAGAUGGACCCGCGGCGCAUUAGCUAGUUGGUGAGGUAAGGGCUCACCAAGGCGACGAUGCGUAGCCGACCUGAGAGGGUGAUCGGCCACAUUGGAACUGAG
rnacentral:rRNA from 1 species